rnacentral:sRNA from 1 species
AGGAUUAUUAUGACUUCAUCAGCUUCAGGAAUAUAUGGCAACUUUGGCCAGGCCAAUUAUAGUGCUGCAAAGUUGGGUCUUCUGGGCCUUGCAAAUUCUCUUGCAAUUGAAGGCAGGAAAAGCAACAUUCAUUGUAACACCAUUGCUCCUAAUGCGGGAUCACGGAUGACUCAGACAGUUAUGCCUGAAGAUCUCGUGGAAGCCCUGAAGCCAGAGUAUGUGGCACCCCUUGUCCUUUGGCUUUGUCAUGAGAGUUGUGAGGAGAAUGGUGGCUUGUUUGAGGUUGGAGCAGGAUGGAUUGGAAAAU